AUGUGUGCUGCUGAGAAGGAUGUACAGGGGCACCUGCAGCCAAAUCCAAGCCGCCUCAGCUGGAGAGGAAACUACACCAGUGUACUGGAAUGUUUCACCAACACGUGCCAGAUGCUGUUCCUUCAUGGUUUCAUCACCAUGAAAGUUUCAGAGACAGCCCCGCCCACCUCAGGACCUCGCCAUUGAUCAUGAUGAUUAUAAUAAUGACAGCGAGCGGAACUAAGACUGUAAAAAUCCAUGACCAGAAUGUUUAGAUGCUUUCUAAUUAUUAAUGAAUACUGAGAGCCUCUUUCUGUGUUUUGUCUGGUUUUUUGGGGGGUUUUUUUACCUCAUUUGUUACUAACAAAGUUCACCAAACUCACACAGUUUACAUUCUGUAUGCUUCCAUCUUUACCAGCCACAGUCUAACUGCAUUUAAGAAAAUAAUCCUUAGAAAUCGUUGUUUUUCUCUUUUGUAAUUGAUGAUAAUUCAGUGAAUAUACUGCGCUGCUUCCUUUUAUUGCGUCUCACAUUGCUUUAAGUUUUUCAGUGUCCAGUUAUUUUUUACUGCUAUAAAUGGUAAAUGGCCUGUAUUUAUAUAGCGCUUUACUAGUCCCUAAGGACCCUAAAGCACUUUACAUAUCCAGUCAUCCACCCAUUCACACACACAUUCACACACUGGUGAUGGCAAGCUACGUUGUAGCCACAGCCACCCUGGGGCGCACUGACAGAGGCGAGGCUGCUGUUUGAACUCUCUGUAUGUUUGACCCUGUAGACUGUUUGAUGGACUGCUUGUCUUGUAAUUGCUGCCUGUUUUUGACUAAAGAUUUGGAUUUCUGACUUUAACACAGCCUCUGCGUGUCCUCCCUUUGUGUCCUCUUCCUCUGUGAAUGUGUUGCAUGUGUCACAGAUUCAUUUUAUUAACAGCUUUCCCACAGUGAGUUGCAUCAGCAUUCAUUCACAGCACAUUUCAGAAGGAUUCAGAUUGAUACAGUGAUCUUAUAGUCAGAAUUAUCCUGACAGACUGCCACUGUAAAUUAUCUUUCAUCAGCUAAAUUUUAAAGUUCAGUAUUUCAAAGCAGGCGUUAUGAAGAAUCAUAUUGGCAUUAGGACUGUAACAAUAUGUACUUACAAAGUCAAAGUUUUUUUUAUUAUGCUAGAAUAUUGGAAGACAAUCAACUUUUAGUGUUUUCUGCAUAUUAAUUAUACUGAAAUAGAGAUGGUGACCCUUACUGUACAGAAGUAUACUAAACAACUGACAAUCUAACAAACAUUAUUGGCCUGAGCCGUCAUGCACAGUGAGUCUGAUCCUGUGCUGUGAGAGUCUGACAAGCAUGUUUCUGGUCAGUUUGGAAGAAAUAAUAUCACAAUCUUGAUCUUUUUUUCAAUAUUCC
rnacentral:lncRNA from 1 species